UUGCCAGGUUGAACGUGAUAAAUGUGUAUGAUAAAACAGAACAAAGAAAGGCCAUUGCUUGUAAACCUACCACAUUAGUCAGUGUGUUAACCCAUCCUGUACCAGCCUCACAUUCUAAAGCCUCAUCAUGUUUGCUCUGUUCAUUAUGACACACCACAUUAAAGUCUUCUAUUUCAAUUAACGCAAAAAAGUUGAGCAUAGUACAUUUUCAAUAACACACACCACAUGGGUGGAGAAUCUGUGACCCUCUCAAAGUUGUUAUUUCCCCACUCCCAGCAGCCCAUCCAGCAUAGCCAAUAGUUGGAGAGUUGAACAACAUCUGGGAAACCACAGCUUCCUUACACCUGCUUUGGGAUUUAAGUAUAGGAAGUUUACCUUGAUACUUUAUAACCAACUUUAUAGCUACUUACAUUGAAAACAAAUUGAAGAGCUUUUUUAAAUUUUAUUUUGCAACCAGUCCUGUACCUAGAAAUGUAAAUAAACUGAAAACGUAAAUAAAUAAAUUUGAACAUGAAGCAUUCAAAUCAGGCCUAAGUGUGUUAUUGGGGGCGUGAGAUGUAUUUUCAAGACAUUAGGCUGAAAUUUCACAAACGCAGCACAGUGUUUCCUGAACUCUCAAAAGAAUAGACAAGAAGCCAGGCAAUAAAUGCCACCAGGCACGUAUAUUAUUAUAACCAUAAGAUAUUCUCUCGUGUCAUUCAUUAAGAUAACAUAAGGGACUCUGAAAAGCCCACUAACAAUUCCUGAGAAUUCUAAGGAAAUCCUAAUGUCUUGCAAACAUUGCAGGUUAUUAGAGACAACUUCACUAUUUGUUACGAACAACUAUAUCAAGCAUGUUGGUACAACCAAGAGUAAGAAAAACCUGGUCAUCCACUCUGAUGUUGGUGUUCACUGUUGCAAAAAUCAUGCACCCUUCUCAAUUCUUCUCCCCUCACCCUGGGACUCCUCUCAAAAGUUUAGUGUGUGUUCAUUUGAAAAUUGUGUGUUUACCCAGAGAUUAAUUUUUGACAUCAUAAAUUUCAUUUAUUCCUUAUGUAUGUAAGAAUUGUUACCCUAUAUUUCACAUGCCUGCAUGAUAUCAUUUCAUAUAUAUUUUUUGCCCAUGUGUUUUUGUUAAUUACAUGUCAGUGACAAACUCCACCAUGAUGUCAUGACAUUUCCACACUAGAGCAUUAUGGGCUGUGUAAUGUCAAAUAACAUUUACAAAAGUUACUGCCAGGAAUGGAGAUUUUUAUCAGGUAGCUACUGCUGUAUAUCAUUGGCAUCAUCUAUACACAACCAAUUGCAGGAAAAUGGGAGCUGACGCACCUCAACCUGUGGCCUGAGAAAGGGAGUAAAAUACAUCUGUCUAGAGAAAACUCUUGGAAAACAUUCAUAUCAAGAUAUGUGCAUGCAAUGCUAAUGAAGAACUUGAAGCACAAUGGGAAUCAAAGUGUGAAAAAAAGAAAAGCACCAAUCAUAUAAACCAAAAGCAGCCAUUUUCAACACAAAACCCAUUUUUUCCUUCAAAACUUGGAAAUUUGACAAAAACAACCCCAACCACUUCAAAAGAAACGGAACAUUUUCAUUGAAAAUCAUUAAUCAUGAAAAUUUGGCACAGUGUUAAAUGAACACAUACACACAAUGCCAUGCACACACAGGUUUAUAAUGUGUAAUGAGUGUUAUGUGUAAUGUGAACAUUACCGAGACAGUAUGUGAUUCUGGCAGUAGAGUGCCCAAAAUGACUCAUUCUAAAUGGAAUAAUGUAAAAAAGGAAGGGACAGCUCAGAACUGUUGAAUGGGGUGCAAAGGCCAAGAGAAGUCAGAAUCCACAAGUUGACCCAAAACAGUCAACAAUACAAACAUCAGCAUUAGACCAAGAACACAAAUGCAGGGCAUAACCUUAAAAACCUUAACUGCAACAAGACAUGGCCAGAGAGUCCACAGAAGAGAGGUAUAAGGCCAUUUGGGAGUUUAAAAAUGUCAUUUGGGAGUAAGAACAGAAAACACUUCAGUGACUAAUUUGGGUCUGCAUUAUAUAUCUUCAGGGUCUAUGUUUCAGUGGCACAAAAACUUGUGCAAAAACGGCCAAGUAAAUCCUGAACAUUUCACCAUUUCCCCAAACACUGCAGAAGUUCUUGCCACACCUGUCCUGAUUAAAUGAAGAGACUGACAAAACCAUGAGAGCUAUAGUUGUGGCUGUUACAAUUGUGCAUCUGCUCAUGUUUUGUGCAUAUUUUUAUUUCAGUACAGUAUUUUGAUUUGAGCAAAAGAACCCUCAUGAAAGAAGUGGAAGGAGGCAAGCAGAAACCAAAUACGGUAGGUUUAGACAGAGUUGGACAACAUUUAUUGGUUCUUGGUGUAACAAUGCACACUCCUCAUGAGAUCCAAAAUAUUACGAAUGAUAUAAUGUAAUUUUAAAAUACAGUAUGAUUGUCAUAUUUUUAACUUUUCUAUUUAGAUCACUUAUUUAGAUAUUUUUCCAUUUAAAUAUAGUAUGCUUUAUAAAACUGGGGGUGGGGGGGAUGAAAAAUCCUCAUCGUGUUUUGGGCUGGUAAUUCUCAUGGAUAGGUAGGAAUCUUAUGCAUAUCACAGAAGUUAUGCAUAUGUAAAGGGAAAUUUAACCACAUGUUUUUGAGGGGCGGGGGGAGCUAAGGUAUUUGCGAUUAAUAUUGUUCAGGUGUUUUCUGUUGUCAAAUACUAGUGUAUCAUCCUAUCAGCAGUGUAUUAAAAGACCCACAGUGUACAAGGAGUAGCUUUCUUGUUUUAUUCCUAGGGAAAAUGGCAACAUACAUAUUAAGUCACUAUGAGCAUUAAAGGCAAUUAAGCUAAACUGAUCUGAACGAGUCUGAUCUCUUUAAGAUACAGCAUGUGAAAGCUUUAUCUUCUUGCCUUUUCCCCUCUUUGUGCGGUGUACAGUGCUCAAGAUUAAUCCCGGGGGAUUUUUUUAUUUUAUUUUAUUUUGUUUUGUUUUAUUUCCUAUUCUACCUAUCUUUCAUCUUCACCCCUAGACUAAGCAGAUGGAUGUGAAUUCAAAGUUUUCUGAUCUUUAGCACAAGUUAUGGAGGGUUAUCUUUGACUGUAUAUCUUUCUGCUGGCAGCGCUCCCUUGGUGAUGAAGGAUUAACCACCACAGCUGUCUCUUCCCAGAAUGAUGCAGUGCAGUUCUCCUCGACACGACAGCAUCACUUAAUCUUAAUGUCCACUCUUCCAGUGCAGCCACGCAGGACAAAGCCAAUCAACAUCAGAUGCCACCAAGAUGGACCUACUGCUUGGCCCUGGAGUCUUUCACCCUCACACACCUAUUAAUCAACAUCAUCCAGCCCAAUCCCAGAGUUUGGUUCUCGGAAACUACACUUAAAACUAAGCAAGGGUGUAUGUUUUCGGUCAGAGGUGCUUUUUUUUAAAGGACUAUGCAUAUGAACUGAACUGGCCAAACGUUUAAUCCAAGAAAUAAUUACUUUUCUUCCAAGAAGUUUAUCUGUAUAGGCUUUGGUCUGUAUUUGUUACUUUUUCUAAAAAAAAAUAUACCCAGUAAUUUUGUGCAUGCAUAAUCCGACAGUUGUGACACAGGAACAUAUUUAGUAUUUAUGACCUCAUGGCUUGAAAUACUUGAAGAGGGAUAAUAACUGUCUCAAACUGUGAAGUUUUUAUGAGGAUUCCUAUUUGACUAACAUGUAAAAAGGAUAAAUUUAGACACCCGAACUCUGUUCUGAAAACCGGAACAGCUAUUUUCAACAGCACAAUAUGGUAAAUGACAACAACAACAACAAUGAGUAUAGUGAGUUUUCUAGUGUUUAGAGCAUUACUUUGUUAUAAGUAUUCCAGCAAGCCUGUAACGUAGACCAAAUGUACCCACUCCAUAUUGAAAAGGAAGGGGUUGGAGAGAAGAGUGUCUUGUCCACGGACACUUUGUGUUUGUGACAAAGGUGACAUUUGAACUGGAGACUUCCUGAUUCAUACCUCAGUCUCUUAGACACUGUACUAAUAGUGCUCAUCUUGUUGAGACUCAUCCUUUGCUACUUUAACUUAUCCUAUGCAGACUUGCUUGCUACUUUUACUUGGACUCUAAUUACAAAGCAAUUAUAAUUUAGUGCCUUCCCUUUUCUUCCGAUACAAAUAAACCAACAAAGUCCUCAAAGGCAAAUGCAAUAAAAUAGUAAAUUAUAGCUGGAGUUUACUAAACAAAUGCAACCUAGUUAAAUUUAGAAAAAUCUUCACUUUUGCUUACAUUUGCAAUUUUACUGCUGAACUACUGGUAUUUCUUACUUAUGCAAACAUUAAAAUGUAUAAGAAACCCUCUUGUGUACUAUAUAUGCAGCAACUACUCAUGAUUUAUAAUACCCAAUUUAGGGAGGGGGGAACACACACACAACUAAACCUGAUUUAAAUCACAGAUUACUCUGUAAAACACAAGCAAGGAACUAUUCCAAAUCCUAAAUGUAAUUUAAACAUAUUUAUAUUUUACAGUGAUGUAUUUUCCCCUUUCCUUGUCUUACAACUGUAAACUUUAUGUAAUUAUAUAAGCAAUUUCCCUGAGGUCACAACAUUGAUCACAGUAAUAUAUGGUUCAACUAUUACAAAACAACAGCUAGCUAUAAAAUAUCACUGGACAUCACUACAGAGUAUAUGCAAUAAAUGCAAGACUGGGGUGCACAAACACAUACAUUCCCAACAAGGCACUUUAAGUAGUAUACAUGAUUCUUUUCCUACCUCAAAGCACCCCGAUCCAUGAUGAAGAUUAGAUAUUAAUAUCAGGGAAGGGAGAAAAGAGUAGAAUAAUAAGAGGAUCAUGGUAAAUGGUAAUGGGGACACCAGAAAGUUUACCAAAAAACAUUUAUCUGCUUUAAUCAGUAUUAUUUCAAUGCAACCACACCAAACCAAGUAAAUUGGCCACUGAAUCAGUAAAUUCCAUAGCAGGGCAGUACUUUUAUUAAGCCAAGCAAAAGUGUCCACCAAAUGGAGCAAGCUUUAGAGUUCAUCAGGUGGGGUGUUAAGCAAGGUGGGGAGAAGGGAGGCCAUUCUAGAUUGCUGAAGAAGAUUGUCAAGUCUUACAUACUGCAAACCAAUGUAAUUUAUGAGCCCUGAUAACAUUUUGGCAUCCUGUGCAACUUGACUGAUAUUCCAGCUGCCUGGAUCACCUUCACUCCUCCAACUCUACCACUCCCGAGCACCAAACAAUUUUCAGCACAAACCUAAUCAUGAAAUAGUAUGGCUUGAAGCAGGGAGGUGGGAUUUAUUUAAAUAGAAAGUCAGCUCACACUCAUGUCAGACCACGGGCAUAGCGGGGGGGGGGGGCUACCAAGAUGAUUGCCCCAGGUGCACUGGGGGGGCACUGCUCACACUGCCACCCCCAAGCCAGCCCUAUGCUGCUUUGUGAGGCUGGGAUUUAAUGAGCCCCAGGCGUUAUUAAAGCACGCUCCACCGCUGCUUCCAACCAAAAGGGCAGCACAAGUGUGCCUGUAGUGGCUCCUUUGACUGGCCACUGCAAUUGGUGCAACUGCGGAGGCAGAGAGGAAACCUUGUUUUCUGUGCCUUCCCACCCUUUGCUCUGACUGUUGGUUUGUUUGUUUCAAGCUGGGGCAUCUAUUUCCAUUUCCAUUGCUUUCUGGCCGUUUACUUUGUUAUUUUCUAUCUGCUACAUGAUCCUGUUUUUCACCCCAUUUCCUCUUCCUUUUGUAUUUUCUCCUCAGCUUCCUCUCCUUUUCUCUUCCUCUCCACUUUCCACUGUAAUUUCUGCCAGUCUUUCUCCUCAUUUUCAUUUUUCUUCAUAAGUCCACUAUUAAAGGGUGUGGUGGUGGUGUGUGUGUGUUGGGGAGUGAUAUACAAAAUAAUUAUAUGUAAGUCUCAUUUCAGGUUCCAUUGGGUGGAAUAGAACUUAAGCCUCAUUAAGUAGGCGUAAGAUUGAAGCCUUAGAGAUGGAAGGGCAUAGUAGCAGAUGAAGGCAAGCAACAAACUAGCAGGGUGACUGGUGUAACAAGAUAUUUUUAACAAGCACGUGAAGGAGAGACACACCUACAUCCACAAUCCCCAUGAAGUAUACAGGGCCAAAAAAUCCAGUUGGCAACCCUGUGGCAGAGUGAAUGGCAUUGUGUGUGUGUGUAUUUCAAUUCACUGGAUCAGAAAAACAAAUGUGGUUACAAGGCACAGUGUAGGAAAACACACUGCCUGCCCUUACUGCUUUGACAAAUACAAACUGCAUUUUAAGUAUCCGCUACUGUAAAUCUAUCAGUCAUAAAAUCUCCUUUAAAGGAGCAUUGCUUUUAGAUGUAUGUCUGAGGUUGCAAGUCUAUGCACACUUACUUGGAAAUAACUCCAAUUGGACUUAGUGAGCUGUCCAAAUAAACAUGCAAAGAAUCAUGCUCCAAGUUUUUUAGGUGUACUACACCUAAAAAUGUAGUUAUUAAAAUGUUGUCUGAAAAUGCAGGCAUAGACACUGGACAAACAAACAAAGUUGCAUGUGGCUCUCUGCUGAUUCUACACCCUGUUGAACAUUAGUUCUAGAAUAUUUCUAGGUAUCAACAUAUCAACAUCAAGCUACAUAUCAACAUUUGCCUGCCUCCCAAUUCCACAACAGUUUUCCUAUUAUCCAUGGAUUUUCAAUAAUUGCAGACAGUGAAUUGCAUUAAACUAACUCCUAUAAGUGAGGAGGAAUUAAAGAACCUUUUAAUGAGGGUGAAAGAGGAGAACGCAAAAUAUGGUCUGAAGCUCAACAUCAAAAAAACGAAGAUCAUGGCCACUGGGCCCAUCACCUCCUGGCAAAUAGAAGGGAAAGAAAUGGAGGCAGUGAUAGAUUUUACUUUCUUGGGCUCCAUGAUCACUGCAGAUGGUGACAGCAGUCACAAAAUUAAAAGACGCCUGCUCCUUGGGAGAAAGGCGAUGGCAAACCUAGACAGCAUCUUAAAAAGAAGAGACAUCACCUUGCCAACAAAGGUCCGUAUAGUUAAAGCCAUGGUUUUCCCAGUAGUGAUGUAUGGAAGUGAGAGCUGGACCAUCAAGAAGGCUGAUCGCCGAAGAAUUGAUGCUUUUGAAUUAUGGUGCUGGAGGAGACUCUUGAGAGUCCCAUGGACUGCAAGAAGAUCAAACCUAUCCAUUCUGAAGGAAAUCAGCCCUGAGUGCUCACUGGAAUGACAGAUCGUGAAGCUGAGGCUCCAAUACUUGGGCCACCUCAUGAGAAGAGAAGACUCCCUGGAAAAGACCCUGAUGUUGGGAAAGAUGGAGGGCACAAGGAGAAGGGGACGACAGAGGACGAGGUGGUUGGAUGGUGUUCUCGAAGCUACCAGCAUGAGUUUGACCAAGCUGUGGGAGGCAGUGGAAGACAGAAGUGCCUGGCGUGCUCUGGGCCAUGGGGUCACGAAGAGUCGGACACGACUGAACGACUAAACAGCAACAACAACAAACUCCUAUUCAGAGCAGACCCAGUGAAGUUAAUGAACCUAAGUUAGUCAUGUUUAUUAACUUCAGUGGAUCUACUCUGGGUAGGACUGACACUGAAUACCACCCAACCUGGGGCUCAGAUUACAAUGGGAAGGUCCUUUCAUUUAGAGUGGCCGGGGCCACCUCUUCAUCUAUUGUGGGCUGCAGCUAACUUCCUCCAUAAUUUGACCUAUUUUUUCCCAUGCCAAGCACUUUAAAAUUAAUUGUUUCUCAAGAGGACAAUUUGCUAAAAGACAAUUAUAAAAAUUUGUCUGUAUAUAUCCUUUAGAGGGUGGUCUGUUUGCAUAAAGGGAUGGAUUAUUUUCUGGAACUUUCCUGAUCACACAACUCCACAAUGUUCAAGCUGAGAUGUGGGAGAAUUAUCUAUCCUUAGAGUAGGUUAACUACUGAAUCUGUGUGUACAUUGAUGUUUUGAGUAGCACUAGCCCCAAACAAAACUUUCAGAGAUUUGGGGAGAGAGAUACAUGGGGGGGGGGAGUUGAAAAAUUAUUCUGUGUGUGUGUGUUUUAAUAGAAGCUUGAAACUACCAGGAGCUACUGUUGAUAGUAAGCCAGGCCUAUAUGUUCUCCCAGAAUGCAGCAUUAGAAUGACAAUGUUUCAUGAUGUAGCAUCUUUCCAGCACUGCAUCAGAGUGUCCUUGUGCAUUCUUACCCUCUCCCUUGAGUUGAGGUCAUUUCCCAUAUACGGGCAGAGGGUAAGAUAGAUCAGUGCUGCACUGAGUGGUGGAUGUAUAAAAAACACCCCAAGUUUCCCUUUCCCGGGAAGCAGAAGAAAAUUUAAUGAAGCAGGGUUGGGGAAAGAAAAUUAACAGCACCAAGAUGCCACAACACUCUUCUUUUAUUAUUAGACAUUAUUAAUGAGGAACAGACAACAUGGGUCUCGUCUUUUCAGUGGCAACACUGAAAUGUCUGCUUUCAGCCUCAGUGUCAGGGAGAAAAAAGGAAUGGGCAGGAUGAGGUUGACAAGUGAACAUCACAAGGCACACAUAUUACAUCAGUAUUCCAGAAACAGGUAAAGUAGCUAUUUUGAUGGCACUGACCUAUUUUAUAGCCACCCUAAUAGCCACCCUACUGUCAAGUUUACUCAAAAUUUCAAUUAAAAAUAAAGCAUCUUAGAAGAUGGACAUUAUAAAAUUUACAUCAUUUUCCUACUCAGCCCUCUCCAGUUUGAGCCUAGUAAUUUAUACGAGCUGCAUGUUAGGUGUUAAUAGAAUUACACAUAUGAUAUAGUGGAUGUUCUUAUACAAUCUGAACUAUAAUAAAUUUUAUAAAUUCUGAUUGCCGGUUACUCAAGCCAUCAAAGCUCUGCCAACAAUAGCCAGCAGAGGUCUAUUACUGAAGUGGCAUUAAUAUAGAAAUCAUCACCAAUUCUAAGCAGAUAAUAAAGGACUGAC